GUUCAGUAGAACUAACACUGAGGUCCAGUCAGACUAACACUGACAUGUUUCCAUUGUCUGUAUUCAAACAGAUGUCCUUCAUCACUUUGGUCAGAGCAGGCUCAGUGCUGUGGUGCUGUCUAAAACCUGACUGGAAGACAUCAUAGCAG